CAGACAGACGGUCAAGCUUCCGCCUGCGGCUCUGGCAUCCCAUGUGGGCGCCAGUUCGAGUCCCGGCUGCUCCACUUCCGAUCAGCUCCUUGCUAAUUCACCUGGGAAAGCAGCAGAGGAUGACCCAAGUGCUUGGGCCCCUGCACCCGCGUGGGAGACCCGGAGGAAGCUCCUGGCUUCGGAUGGGCCCAGCUUUGGCUGUUGCGGCCAUUUGGGGAGUGAAACAGCGGAUGGAAGACCUGUCUCUCUCUCUCUCUCUCUCUCUCUGCCUUUCAAAUACAUAAAUAAAGCUUAAAAGAGAGAGGGAGAGAGGGGGAGGGGCAUGUUUGUCCCGCGGGACGACCUGACUAUUGGGGCAGCCGCCGAGAAGCCCAGUGCGUCCUCUUGGCUGUUUCUCCUGUUGCUGACCCCGUCCGCGUGUGCCUCGCCUUCCCUCCAGGGGCUGCGGUGUCCUUGAGGGAGCAGAGUGUGCCGCACGUGCAGGCCCCUGGGGAGGCUUCUGCAGGCCCUGGUGGGCGGGUGGGGGCUGCAGUGCCAGGGGCAGGAGACCCGGGGCCGGCUUUCGAAGGCACCAGAUGUCUGCAGUGGGUGCUCGCAGAUAAGCACUCUGUGUGCACAAGUACGGCGAGCUGGGGUUCCAGGCCUGUUCCUGUUGUGUCGCUCUGUGCACUGAACCGGAGAGGCUGACUUACCCCUUUUCGGUUUUGUUACUGUGGGUAGAAUCUGGACCGUGGUACAGCGGCCAGCUCCGCCCAGCUCCGUCCAGCUCCGCGGUGUGAGGUGCACACAUGUCGCCUCCAGACGUGGCCACUAGGCGGCGCCAGACCCCCGGUCCUGCACCACAGCAAGUGUGUGCCCUUUACGAGACGGUGCUUACUUUAUCCCGUCGCCUUCUGCGGCCAUCAUCCUGUUUCCUGUUGCCAUGACUUUUAAAGAUUUAUUUAUUUAUUUGAAAGGCAGCGUUACAGAAAGACACACACACACACACAGUGAGAGAGAGAGAGAGAGGUCUUCCAUCCGCUGGUUCACACCCCAGUUGGCUGCGACGGCUGGAGCUGAGCUGAUCCGAAGCCAGGAGCCAGGAGCCAGGAGCUUCCUCCAGGUCUCCCAUGCAGGUGCAGGGCCCAACCACUUGGGCCAUCUUCUGCUGCUUUCCCGGGCCACAGCAGAGAGCUGGAUUGGAAGUGGAGCAGCUGGGACUCAAACUGGUGGCCAUAUGGGAUGCCAGCACUGCAGGCGGUGGCUUUAUGUGCUCCGCCACAGUGCUGGCCUUCAUUUAAAAAAAAAAAAAAGAUUUAUUUGUUUAUUUGAAAGGCAGAGUUACAGAGAGAGAGAGAGAGAGAGAGAUUGAUCUUCCAUCCACUGGUUCACUUCCCAAAUGGCCACAACGGCUGGGGCUGGGCCAAGCUGAAGCCAGGAGCUUCCUCUGGGUCUCCCACGUGGGUGCAGGGGCCCAAGGACUUGGGCAUCUUCCCCAGGCCACAGCAGAGAGCUGCAUCAGAAGAGGAGCAGCCGGGACGCGAACCGGCGCCCAUAUGGGAUGCUGGCGCCGCAGGCCGAGGCUUAGCCUACUACGCCACGGCAGCAGCCCCGGUGUUGUUAACUUGCAGGGGCCAUACUUUCCUGUGUGUGCGCUUUGCGCUGUCUUGUUGACCAUGCGCAGUUGAACGUGGGGGCGGGGUGAGCUGGAGAGCGGCUCCCCCUUCCUGCGGGACUUGCUGCUUCUGUCUCCCGUGCGAGUGUCGCUAUGCAUUAGCAAGGAGUAGCUGGGAUAUGGAGCAGCUGGGACUUGGAGCAGCUUGGAUAUGGAGCAGCUGGGACUUGGAGCAGCUGGGAUAUGGAGCAGCUGGGACUUGGAGCAGCUGGGAUAUGGAGCACCUGGACUUGGAGCAGCUGGGAUAUGGAGCAGCUGGGACUUGGAGCAGCCGGAACCAACACCCAGAUGGGAUGCUGGCGUUGCAGGCAGCAGCUUAACCUGCUAUGCCACAAUGCAGGCUUAAUAAAUAAUUUUUUAAAUUAUUCAGCCCUAAGGAGAAAUUCAGGGAGAUCUGCUCUGGGUGGUCAGGGAGGGCUUCCCUAAGGAAGUGGCGUUAGGCUGAAGUGAUGCGGGUGAGUAGGAGCUCUCUGGGAGAAGAGUGGGGAAGAGCAGCAAUACCCGUACCCCCAAACAAGCGGAGAAGCCCUUGUGCGCAAACAGGGUGGGAGUGUCUGCGGCCCAACCCCUGGGCGGGCCGACUCCGCACUCUGUCCAGUUCCUUGAAUGCUUUUUUUUUUUUAAAGACUUGUUUAUUUAUUUGAAAGGAUUAGAGAGAAAGAGAGGUAAAGACAGAGAGAUCUUCCAUGUAUUAGUUUAUUCCCCAAGUGGCUGCAAAGGCCAGGGCUGGGCUAGACCAAAGCCAGGAGCCGAGAACUCUAUCUGGGUCUCCCACGCGGGUGCAGGGCCCACGCACUUGGGCAUCUUCCCCUGCUUUCCCAGGCCACAGCAGAGAGCUGGAUCAGCAGAGGAGCAGCCGGGACACGAACCGGCGCCCAUAUGGGAUGCUGGCGCCGCAGGCAGAGGCUUAGCCUACUACGCCACGGCACCAGCCCCGGUGUUGUUAACUUGCAGUGGGCCAUACAGGGAGCUGGCUCGGAAGUGGAGCUGCUGGGACUCACAGCGGCGCUCGUAUGGGAUGGCAGAGUUGCAGGCGGAGGCUUAACCUGCGGCAGCGCGACGCCGGCCCCCAGAUCCUUCAGUAUUGCGCACUGGAAUAUUUCCUCCCCCUCCGGGGGGAGCUGGGCCCGUGACUGGUUGCCAAGCCACAGAACGUGGCACAGGCGGUGGCUGUCACUCCCGCGAUGACGCCACGUGUCCCGACCCCCUCUGCUGGGAGACUGCAGACUGCCUCCCUGGCCGGCGUCGGGGGCGGGGGGCAGCCCCCUUGCAGACUCCCAUGGCAAGAAGCACGAAGAUGCCUCCUUCUGGAAGUAGGAUCGCCCACUGCCAGGCUUGCCCGGAAGGGAGGGGUUUCCCAGGAGGCUGGGAAAGUCCCAGAAAACCCAGCGUGAGUCCGUUUCUCCGGGAACUGUUCUGGGAAUUUGGAGCUGGAAGCCCCCACUAGGAGGGGAACUGGGGGCCUGGUGCUUAGUUUCUGGGCCCACAGGAAGGCAUCCUUUGCCGUUCUGUUCCCUCUUGUGUUGUUCAAACUUUUCUACCAAGUCCAUGUGUUAUGGUUUUUUCUGAAUAAAUAUUAAGCCAUGAUGCAUGGAGAUGCUUAGAGAUGAUUGCAUCACUGGCAGGCCGCGGAGCCCUGUCGCAGCCUCGGGUCACAAGUAAACUUGUCGCUUUCCAUAUCUAGGUGGGGCACGGUUUACGUCAUCACGUGCCUCUCCAUUUAUAAUGGGCAAUGAUUCCAUCUUGAUGUCUGCCCCUGUGUGGGUUGCCAAACUGGAAGAGGACCGGGAGGAUUCCCCCCUGCACCACUAGAGGGCACGCGAGCACCACACUCUCUCAGCUGGCCAGCCCUGCCCCGUCUGGCUCCUGGCCGCGGUCUGUGCUUGCGAGGAGCUUUGACAGGGAGACGCUGGCGCAGGAGUAGUCACCGCAGCCAGAACUCCUGUGUGCUCAGCACACUGCUGGGAGACAGGGCAGGGAAUGACUCCAACGCAACCGGACGAACGCAGGGGACGCCACCUCCAGGGGCAGGUGUUUGACCUUGCGGAUAGGACCCUGCCUGGGACAUUGCAGCCCAUGUCGCAGGGCCUGGGCUCUGCUCCCUUUCCAGCUUCCUGCUGAUGGUCACCCUGGGAGGCAGCAGGUGACGGCCCACGUUCUAAGGUUCCUGCCACCCACGGGAGACCUCCACGGUGCUCUGACUGCUCGCUCCGACCUGGCCCAGUCGGGGCCAUUGUAGGCAUUUGGGAAGUGAACUAGUGCAUGGGAGAUCUCUGUCUCUCUUUCCAAUAAAUAAAGCAGAUAAUGAUUUAAAAAAAAAUGGAAAAACACCCACAGUGCACAGGAUCCAAAGAUGCAGCUCUUCAGCUGUGGAUGAGAAUUUUACAAGUCCAUUGUGUGGGGGCCGGCGCUGUGGCUAGCAGGGAAAGCCGCUGCCGCCUGCAGUGCCAGCGUCCCAUGUGGGCGCCGUUCGAGUCCCGGCUGCCCCUCUUGCUAUCCUGCUCUCUGCUGUGGCCUGGGAAAGCAGUGGAAGAUGGCCCAAGUCCUUGGGCCCCUGCACCCACGUGGGAGACCUGGAAGAAGCUCCUGGCUCCUGGCUUCAGAUCGGCCCAGCUCUGGCUGUUGAGGUCAUUUGGGGAGUAAACCAGAGGAUGGAAGACCUCUCUCUCUCUCUCUCUCUCUCUCUCUCUCUGUAACUGUGCCUCUCAAGUAAAUAAAUAAAAUCUUAAAAAAAAAAUUGUAAGAAGAAAGAACCCCCAGAGCUUCGUUCUCCCCGAGCCCCUAACUCUCGUCUCCUCUGUCUCCUUUCUCCUUUCUCUGUCUUGAGGGAGACAGGGAGAGGGAGCUUUUUCUUUGUGUGCGCAUCUGUUUACGCGGAUUGCGUAUGCCUUCGUGCGUAUGCCUUUUUCCUGACAAUUCAGUGGUUUGUAGACAUUUGAAAUCGUGGUAGUUCAGUGUGUAUUUCCCAAGAACAGGGCCAUUGUCUUAUAAAACUACAGUACAAUAUUCAACAGAGAAGCUAAUAUGAUGUCAUUCCGUGACCUAAUCUGCAGGCCUUAUCUAACAGUGAUGUCAUCCCAUAGUGAUGUCAUCCCAUAGUGAUGUCAUUCAUAGUGAUGUCAUUCCAUAGUGAUGUCAUUCAUAGUGAUGUCAUUCCACGACCUAAUCUGCAGACGUUAUCUGAAUUUUGCCAGUUGUUUCAAUACGGUCUUUUUUUUUUUUUUAGAAUACACACUGUUUUUUUAUUUUUUUUUAAGAUUUACUUCUUUUAUUUGAAAGUCAGAGUUACACAGAGAGAGGAGAGGCAGAGAGAGAGAGAGAGAGAGAGAGAGGAGGUCCUCCAUCCCCUGGUUCACCCCCCAGUUGGCCACAACAGCUGGAGCUGUGCCAAUCCGAAGCCCGGAGCCAGGAGCUUCUCCCGGCUGGAGCGAGCCACCGUGAACUCUGGUGUACGGCGUCUGUUCCGCAUUCCGUCCUCGGUUCUGCUAGGUCUGUCCUUCGGCAGCGACCUGCUGCGGCUCGGGGUCACGUCGUUUCUCACUUCUAGAGGAGUCACCGAGCUGUCCUUCACAGCUGCGGGGAUGCUCGUGUCCCCUCCAGCAAGGGGCAGGGUUCCCGGCUCUCCUGUCCCGGCUAACAGCUGUUAUUUUCUUUAUUUAUUGUUUUUAAAUAUCUACUUAUUUACUUGAGAGGCAGACUUGCAGACAGAGAGAGGGAGAGACAGAGAAGUCUUCCAUCCACUGGUUCACUCUCCAAGUGGCCACAACAGCUGGAGCUGGGCUGACCCAAAGCCAGGAGCCAGGAGCUUCUUCCAGGUCUCCCACACGGCUGUAGGAGCCCAAGGACUCGGGCCAUCUUCCAUUGCUUUCCCAGGCUGUAGCGGAGAGCUGGAUCAGAAGAGGAGCAGCCAGGACUUGAACUGGCACCCAUAUGGGAUGCCAGUCCUGCAGGCGGUGGCUUUACCCACUAUGCCACAGUGCUGGCCCCCUUAUUUUAUGAAAAAAUUUCACUGGGGUGAAAUGUUGUGGUGCAGUGGGCUGAGCUGCAGUCUGAUGACGGCGUCCCUGUUCCACUUUUGAUCCUAAUGUGCCUGGGAAGGCAGCAGCAGAUGGCCCAAGUGGUUGGGUGCUUGGGUCCCUGCCACCCGUAUGGGAUACCCAAAUGGAGUUCUAGGCUCCUGGCUUCAGCCUACCCAGCCCCAGUUGUGACCAUUUGGGGAGUGAGCCAGCAGAUGGAAGAUCUCUCUCCUUACGGUCUCUCCCUCUCUUUUAAUUUUUAUUAAAGAUGUAUUUAUUUAUUUGAAAGGCAAUAGUUAUAGACAGUGAGAGGGAGAGGUCUUCCACUUGCUGGUUCACUCCCCAAAUGGCUGCAAUGGCUGGAGCUGUGCCGAUCCGAAGCCAGGAGCCAGGAGCUUCUUCUGGGUCUCCCACAUGGUACAGGGGCCCAAGCACUUAGCCAUCUUCUACUGCUUUCCCAAGCCAUAGCAGGGGGCUUGGAUGGGAAGAGGAGCAGCCAGGACUAGAACCGGCAGCCAUAUGGGAUGCUGGCCCCAUCACCUGCUAUGCCACAGCACCGGCCGCAAUAAAAUAACUCUUACGGCUGGCGCCGCGGCUCAAUAAGCUAAUCCUCUGCCUUGUGGCGCCGGCACACCGGGUUCUAGUCCCGGUCAGGGCACCAGAUUCUGUUCCAGUUGUCCCUCUUCCAGGCCAGCCCUCUGCUGUGGCCAGGGAGUGCAGUGGAGGAUGGCCCAAGUACUUGGGCCCUGCACCCCAUGGGAGACCAGGAUAAGUACCUGGCUCCUGGCAUCAGAUCAGCGCGGUGCGCCGGCCGCAGCGGCCAUUGGAGGGUGAACCAACGGCAAAGGAAAACCUUUCUCUCUGUUUCUCUCUCUCACUGUCCACUUUGCCUGUCAAAAAAUAAAUAAAUAAAUCUUUUAAAAAAAUUCCACUGGAGCCACCGUGCAGGGCAGGAAGUGGUAUCUCACGGUGGGUUUGAUUGCAUUUUCCUAAGGAUCCGGCUCUGAGCGUUUUCAGCUCAUCGGCCACUUGGAGAUCUCCGUGGGCCAGGUGUUGUUCAGGUCCUACGGCCACUUUUCCGUUGGGCUGUCUUUCUGUUGUUGCGUUGUGGGCGUUCUUGGUCUACUCCGGAUGUUAUAAAAUCCUCCUGCUUGAGUAGCGCCCAGGACGCACCAGCACAGGUGUGACCGCGUGUCCCGGGGCCAAGGCUGGCUGGAUGCCCAGCCCAGCAGGCCCGGUGCCGCGGAGUGGAUACUCAGAGCCAGCUUGUCUCGCACCCUCACCCAACACGUGGCCGGCGCAUUAGCGGGUGGGUGUCUCAACCCUCCUCAGGGGUACCGUUAAUGCCACUGUACUGGGAAGAGAAUCCAGGCCCAGAGAGGUGAGGCAGCUUGUCCACGGGCACACAGGUGGACAGUGGCGGCGUCUGUUUCCCAUUGCUACCAGGAAGUACCAGGCUGGGCAUGCUUCAUAAACAGAGGCUUCUUUAGCCCCAGGGCACCUGGCAGGUGGCAUCACAAUGGCAGGUGACACAGGUGGCAGCGGAAGCCAGAGCAUGGGGUGGGGCCAGUAACCGCCUCCCACUGGAGCCACCCACCACCCCUUGCAGCUGCCCUGAGGACCAGGCUCCCACAGAGGACCACGGGGAGAAACUGAGGCCCAGAAGUAAGAGCUGGUCGGGCAGCAUUGCCACACCCGCUCAGUCAGGAGAGCGGGCAAGGGGCUGUGAGUGAAGCAGGGCGCGGUGCAGCCGGGCUGUCGGUGGUAACCAGUGCUGCUCCGGGACUGCGUCGCUUGGUGUCUGUUUUG